UGUGGCGUUGCCCAGACAACUAGGAUGUUGGCUUAGAAGCAGCCAUCAUUUAAAGAGUGCGUAAUAGCUCACUAGUCGAGUGACACUGCGCCGAAAAUGUACCGGGGCUAAACAUAUUACCGAAGCUGUGGAUUGUCCUUUGGACAAUGGUAGGAGAGCGUUCUAAGGGCGUUGAAGCAUGAUCGUAAGGACAUGUGGAGCGCUUAGAAGUGAGAAUGCCGGUGUGAGUAGCGAAAGACGGGUGAGAAUCCCGUCCACCGAUUGACUAAGGUUUCCAGAGGAAGGCUCGUCCGCUCUGGGUUAGUCGGGUCCUAAGCUGAGGCCGACAGGCGUAGGCGAUGGAUAACAGGUUGAUAUUCCUGUACCACCUAUAAUCGUUUUAAUCGAUGGGGGGACGCAGUAGGAUAGGCGAAGCGUGCGAUUGGAUUGCACGUCUAAGCAGUAAGGCUGA
rnacentral:rRNA from 1 species